AUUAAGUUUCUUUUUCAGUUUUUAGAUAUAAUGUUUUGACUCUUCGUCUUAUUUGAAAUUUUUUUGCGAUAAAUAUUUUUGUUAUUACUAGAUGGUAAAACAUGAAUAGUACUUUUAUGCGUGACUAAUUUUAUGAAGUUUUGUAUAAUUUUUUUAAAUAAGACAAAUGGUCAAACUUUAGACACAGAAAUCGAAAAAUAAAGUUAUU
rnacentral:pre_miRNA from 1 species